rnacentral:rRNA from 1 species
UACAGGGGGUGCAAACGUUGCUCGGAAUCAUUGGGCGUAAAGCGCACGUAGGCUGUUCGGUAAGUCGGGUGUGAAAACUCUGGGCUCAACCCAGAGACGCCAUCCGAUACUGCUGUGACUAGAGUCCGGUAGGGGAGUGUGGAAUUUCCGGUGUAGCGGUGAAAUGCGCAGAUAUCGGAAGGAACACCAGUGGCGAAGGCGGCACUCUGGGCCGGAACUGACGCUGAGGAGCGAAAGCGUGGGUAGCAAACAGG